CAUCGGGAUGGCGUUCGGCGGCAGCGCGCGCACGCUGCUGAUGCGCGAAUCGCUCGCGUCGGGCACGAUCGGCGUCGUGUUCCUGUUGUC
rnacentral:tRNA from 1 species